CUACGUGCCAGCAGCCGCGGUAAUACGUAUGUCACGAGCGUUAUCCGGAUUUAUUGGGCGUAAAGCGCGUCUAGGUGGUUAUAUAAGUCUGAUGUGAAAAUGCAGGGCUCAACUCUGUAUUGCGUUGGAAACUGAAUAACUAGAGUACUGGAGAGGUAAGCGGAACUACAAGUGUAGAGGUGAAAUUCGUAGAUAUUUGUAGGAAUGCCGAUGGGGAAGCCAGCUUACUGGACAGAUACUGACGCUAAAGCGCGAAAGCGUGGGUAGCAAACAGGAUUAGAUACCCUGGUAGUCCACGCUGUAAACGAUGAUUACUAGGUGUUGGGGGUCGAACCUCAGCGCCCAAGCAAACGCGAUAAGUAAUCCGCCUGGGGAGUACGUACGCAAGUAUGAAACUCAAAGGAAUUGACGGGGACCCGCACAAGCGGUGGAGCAUGUGGUUUAAUUCGACGCAACGCGAGGAACCUUACCAGCGUUUGACAUC
rnacentral:rRNA from 1 species